rnacentral:rRNA from 1 species
UACGUAGGUGGCGAGCGUUAUCCGGAAUUACUGGGUGUAAAGGGUGUGUAGGCGGGGAGACAAGUCAGGCGUGAAAUUUAUGGGCUCAACUCAUAAACUGCGCUUGAAACUGUAGCUCUUGAGUGUGGGAGAGGUAAACGGAAUUCCUGGUGUAGUAGUGAAAUGCGUAGAUAUCAGGAGGAACACCGGAGGCGAAGGCGGUUUACUGGACCAUAACUGACGCUGAGACACGAAAGUGUGGGGAG